GCCCUGAUUAGUUUCACCUGUGUCCUCAUUUCCUGUUCUCUCUCUGUGCUUGUCUUUAAUCUACCCAUGUAUUCUGGGAUUACAUUUACUGCAUUUUUACGACUAGUGUCACUUGGACGGACUGAUGGAACAGUCGGGGGCAGGCUAACAGGAGGGGGCAGUAUAAUGGCCAGUCUGUCGGGUUCUGAUCCGUGUGGAUUUCAUUUUCAGAAGCUCUUCCUGCCAACAUGGCGGCGUAAACAAACGGAGUCAUGUGACAUGUGGCUUAUUGCUUUCAUCACCAGACAAAACAGAGAAUUCAAAGAACGAGAUGUUGAUCUGUGGACGUUACAUUGCGAGUGUGUGAAGGAGCAGCUGCACUUUAUGAGACACCAGAGGACGUGACGUCCUCCCAGACACGUCUCCCUCCAGGCCUGGACUUUCACAGUGGGACAAACUUUCAGUGAAAGACGUGUGGUCGUGUGGACAUGUGGACAAACACAAACACUGCAGGCUUCAGUCAGGAAGUGAAGACAGGAAAUCAGCGGAGAAAUCUUUCAAUCCAAGCAGGAGGCGCUGAGGACGAGGAGACAGACGGAUGUAGAUCUACCAGGGGUUCCCAAACACUGGUUCAACAUAACAAAGUACAACAUUCAUGUAUCUGUGCUUUGUUAUUUCUGUACUUUUACUCUAUAUACCAAAUAAAACCAGAAGAAGAAGAAUGGACGUGGGCUGAAGUGUUUUUGCUCAAGGAGCCUGGAAUUGAACCCCCAACCUUCCAGUUGAAAGACAACUCACUCACUUGUGAUUCAGUGAGCUUUUUCUGUGUGACAGUGUCCCACUGUCAGACAGACAGCUCACUAUGAUGAGCUGUUUAGAUGUCAGACAGGAUCAGCGUGUCAUCUACAGCCUCCACUGAGUGUGUCUGAGCUCUGAGGCUCAUUAACGCAGCAUUGCACUCGAGGGAAUCCACUGGAACCAGCAGCACCUUAUUGAUCCCAGUUCAACAACUGAAAUAUAAAUGAAGAGGAUUUCUUUCCCUCCGCCAUUAUCUCCCAGCGUCUGCACGCUUUUCUUUCUUUUCAUUACUGUCAGGACUGUGGCUGCAGCGUCGCAAAAAAUGUUGCAUUGACUGACUUAUUAAGGAAACUCUGCAGGGAACUGGAAGAUAAACACAUUCACUGCUGCUUCAAUAAUUCAUGGACUGAUGAAAUGUUUAUUUUCUAUGUUUGAAAAGUAAGAAAAGUGUCCACACUUGUGAUGACUCGUCACAGCUGUGAGUGCACAUAAGCUGCUGUUUAACUUGGUGCAAUAAAGUUAUUUAUAUUUA